rnacentral:rRNA from 1 species
CCCCCCCCGGGCUAAUAUUAUUGCAUCAUAGCGAGAAUGGAACCUAACCAAGGGAUUCCCCUAGUAACUGCGAGUGAAGCGGGAAAAGCUCAAAUUUAAAAUCUGGUAGUCUCUGGCUACCCGAGUUGUAAUCUAGAGAAGCGUUAUCCGCGUUGGACCGUGUAUAAGUCUCCUGGAAUGGAGCGUCAUAGAGGGUGAGAAUCCCGUCUUUGACACGGACUACCAGUGCUUUGUGAUGCGCUCUCAAAGAGUCGAGUUGUUUGGGAAUGCAGCUCUAAAUGGGUGGUAAAUUCCAUCUAAAGCUAAAUAUUGGCGAGAGACCGAUAGCGAACAAGUACCGUGAGGGAAAGAUGAAAAGAACUUUGGAAAGAGAGUUAAACAGUACGUGAAAUUGUUGAAAGGGAAACGCUUGAAGUCAGUCGCGUUGGUCGGGGAUCAACCUUGCUUUUGCUUGGUGUACUUCCUGAUUAACGGGUCAGCAUCAAUUUUGACCAGUGGAAAAAGUUCGAGGGAAUGUGGCAUCUCCGGAUGUGUUAUAGCCCUCGUUCGUAUACAUUGGUUGGGAUUGAGGAACUCAGCACGCCGCAAGGCCGGGUUUUUACCACGUUCGUGCUUAGGAUGCUGGCAUAAUGGCUUUAAUCGACCCGUCUUGAAACACGGACCAAGGAGUCUAACAUACCUGCGAGUGUUUGGGUGGAAAACCCAAGCGCGUAAUGAAAGUGAAAGUUGGGAUCUCUGUCGUGGGGAGCACCGACGCCCGGACCAGACCUUCUGUGACGGAUCCGCGGUAGAGCAUGUAUGUUGGGACCCGAAAGAUGGUGAACUAUGCCUGAAUAG